rnacentral:rRNA from 1 species
UACGGAAGGCAGCAGGGGGAAUAUUGCACAAUGGGCGCAAGCCUGAUGCAGCCAUGCCGCGUGUAUGAAGAAGGCCUUCGGGUUGUAAAGUACUUUCAGUCGUGAGGAAGGUGUUAAGGUUAAUAACCUUAGCAAUUGACGUUAGCGACAGAAGAAGCACCGGCUAACUCCGUGCCAGCAGCCGCGGUAAUACGGAGGGUGCGAGCGUUAAUCGGAAUUACUGGGCGUAAAGGGCACGCAGGCGGUUAAUUAAGUUGGAUGUGAAAUCCCCGGGCUUAACCUGGGAAUGGCAUUCAAGCUGGUUAGCUAGAGUCUUGUAGAGGGGGUAGAAUUCCAUGUGUAGCGGUGAAAUGCGUAGAGAUGUGGAGGAAUACCGGUGGCGAAGGCGGCCCCUGGACAAAGACUGACGCUCAUGUGCGAAAGCGUGGGGAGCAAACAGGGAUUAGAUA